GAAAUAUGAUGAUCAAAAAAAAGCUGCUAACUUUUUCUUUUAGCGGUUAAAUUCCGUUUAUAUUUCU
rnacentral:tRNA from 1 species